UUGACGAGAAAUCAUGUAUUUAUUAAUGAAUUAAUCCCAUAUAUUACUCCAUGGACAAGCCCAAAUUGCUUACAAGCUAGGAAUGACCAGGGCUAGGAUGGAGCUUUCACUACUAAAAACAAUUGCAUUUGCUUCGGCAAUUUACGACGGCAUUGGUUUCCGUCGCAAAAACCUAGCAUUGGCGACGGGAUACACGACGGCGGCUUUGCCGUUGCAUAUAUUUGGGGAGUGUGCUACGGCAAUCAAAUGCGGUAGCAGGAUUAAGGAUGGACACGACGUCGUAUUCUGAUUAAUGUUUAUUCAAGAGGACUCGGUUCAUAUCUACGCCUCUACCGUAGCGCUCUCUUUCUCUCUCUCUCUUGAUGCCAACGUCCUUUCGCCAUUACCUGUGGCCGGGCUCCGACAUCAUUUUCAGAUCUGUGGCAAGCCUCCUCUAAAUCGUUAUCUGCUUCACACUCUUUCUAUUAGAGUUGGAUCUCGAAAUACUUCGCCUUUUUUUUUCUUUCAGAUCUGUGUUGCCUCAAACCCAGCUGCGAGCUCUGGGAAUAGAGAAACCUUGGAACUCUCCUUCUGCCAAAAUGGUAUCUCUCUAGAUUCCAUGCACAAGAGAUGUGCCACUAGAGGCAAGAAGAAGGCGUGGAGAAAGAAUCGAAAAUGGUUACAUCGUCUAUGGCAUUUAACAUUUGUGUUAAUUUAGUCCAAAAUGCAAUAUGUAGCUGCUAGUUUAUAAAAUCGGGGGAAGAUGAUACAUGUACUAGCCUUUAUAUACAGAAAAUGCAGCUAGAAUCUUUAUUUACGUUUGAGAAAUAUUCCCUCCUUCUUUGUCUCUCUCUUCUACCGAAACAUUAUGAUAACCACUCAAGCAACUUUCGCUGGUGAUGAUAUAUACUAGUUUCAGGGACAUACAAAUUUGGGCAAUAUAAUGAGAGGAAUUGGAUGAUAUGGCAGCUCAUGUGCAGGUAAUGGGACGAUCCUCUCCUAAUGAUAAGCUUCUGCUUGUUCUAGCGCUAAGGAGAAGGGGACAUGUUGUUGCUGUUACUGGUGAUGGCAAUAAUGAUGCUCCUGCACUACAUGAGGCCAACAUUGGUCUUGCUAUGGGUAUUCAAGGUUCUGAGGUUGCCAAAGAGAGUUCUGAUAUCAUUAUCUUGGAUGACAAUUUUGCUUCAGUUGUGAAGGAGGAUUAGAAUGGGGCUGCUCCAGCUAGAAGUGUUCUGGCGUGGAUCCUAAUAUAAAUUUGAAAGUAUGCUUAGGCAGCAGCUGUGGUCGAUAGUCUGGCCAUCUUUUAGAAGUGAAGGUGCUGCAGUGUUGUUGCUUUGGCUGACUCGUGAUUGUUGCUUGGUUAUAGAUGAUGGGUUUCAUAUUGUAAUUUGAUAUUUUUCAGUUCAUAAUAAUUGCUAUAGAUGGUACUAGCUUUGGUGUGCAAUUCACACCAUUUUUUUUUUUUAUAAAUGAAAUAUUCUUUUGCGACGGCAAAGUAUCCGUUGCAACCAA